UACGGGGGGAGCAAGCGUUGUUCGGAUUUACUGGGCGUAAAGGGCGCGUAGGCGGUCAGUGCAAGUCAGUUGUGAAAUCUCCGGGCUUAACUCGGAAAGGUCAACUGAUACUGCUCGACUAGAGUGCGGAAGGGGCAACUGGAAUUCUUGGUGUAGCGGUGAAAUGCGUAGAUAUCAAGAGGAACACCUGCGGCGAAGGCGGGUUGCUGGGCCGACACUGACGCUGAUGCGCGAAGCUAGGGAGCGAACGGG
rnacentral:rRNA from 1 species